CAGCAUGUUUCCAAGGGCUGUGGCUGGUUGUAGCCAUGGGCUCUCCAGCUGCAUACAAGAGCAACCUGGAGGGACCCCAACAGCUCAGGUCAGCACAACACCUGUGGCUGCAAUCCACCUUUUCUAUAACG